AUCACUCAUUUUUCACACCGUCAUCCCCAAAACCAAGAUUUCCUGUGUAGAUCAUAUAUUCUUGAGUCAUGAACCUCUUAAGCAACUAAAUAACCCUGAUUUUCAUAGUCCAAGCUUGCAUCUUCGAUCUCUAAUCGCCACGAUCGCAAUCUUGGUUUUUUGACUGUCACCGCCACGUUUUACAAACCCUAGAUAUCAACACAGAUUCAGCAUUUGUUUGAAGGUUUAUCGGACCCGUUGAUUUUCUCUCACAUCUUAGUUCUUCCAGCCGUUUUACUCUUGGAUCGAAGAAAAAUUGGAAAAUGUUUCAGUCAUGCCAAAUCGAUAAGGAGCUAAUUGGUAGAAUAGUGGGCUAAUUGAAUCCACGAAGCUUACACUAACUGGCAUAAUCGACGGUACGAUGGUACAUGGAAGGAUGAAGGUGUUCUUCGAUUAACAAUCAGGUUUGAUGAGAAUGGGCCAAACAAGUAAAAUCUGGAAAUUAUGCUGAAAAUAAAAUGGGUUAAAAAGGCAAUCAACGGAUGGAGAAGUUGCGAUCAUGAUACUCAUGGCUAUUCUUUCUUAAAUGCUAGCUGAGGGAAUACCAACAACAAUGAAUUGGCUUCUAUUGAGGGAAAAGAUUAUAGUGAAACAAGUGUUAAAUGUUUUGAAAACAGCAUGGCGUUUUCAUCACUUCCAUUGGCUAUUAAGUGGUGGAGAAAUGCUGCUAAACAGAACCGGUUGGCUUACGUGGUAUGGUAUUCAUUUAUCAAAGAUAAAAGAAGGCAUACAUUGAUUUAUGUGGUGUACAUGCGUCCUUUUUUCUUUCGUGAGCUCAUUUUGAAGUCUAUUAGUGGCAAUUUUGCUUAAAAUCUAACCAGUGGGAGAAAAAUAGAUAUAGCUAAUAUGCAUAUACGAUCAAUUGAGAUCGAAAUUGAAGUGUUUGGAGAUAAAAUUGACCUUGCGAGAGGAAACGGAGGAGGCGGUCAUGGUGGAGGAGAUGAUGCCUUUGGUUUGUACCGGAGAUAUUGUAUUGUUGUAUAAUACUCUAAUUCAUAGCCGAGAGCACCGGUCUAUGGUUGUACAACUGAUAAAACCGAAGAAAUACUGCUCGAUAGGAAUGAAAUUGCACAAGAACAUGGUUUCAUUUCGCUACAGUUCAAGCCCCACCAGACUGCCGUUGGAGCUGCAUGUCUUGCUGCAAGGUCCUUAAAUAUGGAUUUUAUUUCAUGUCAAAAUAAAGGGCAAGAGUUCUACAAACCACCGUUUGUGCUCAGGGGGAGCAAAAGUUGUAGGUGGUAAGAGGAAUAACCUAGGGUUUAAUUUUUAUGAGCCUACAGUUAUAAGUGAUGUCAAGAAUGAGAUGCUCAUAUCAAGGGUUGGACUCUUACAGUAGCCGGGAUUACUAUAGCUCUUUGCGCUGCACCAUUCACUGCCUUCUUGAAUUCAAUCGCAAUUGCUGUUUGGCCUACUUAUGUAGCAGUCGCUAUCUCAGAGACUGUUCGGAAGGUUUGUUUAUCUAUUUCCUUGAAACUAUUGAUUCAUUUCCUUAACUUCGUUUUGUAGGUGGUAACAUAUUCUAUUCAAACUGAUUUUAACCCAUUUGGGUAAAUUCAUUGAUAAGGUGGUAACAUAUUAUAUUCAAACUGAUAGUGUGGAAUCUCAAAAUGUUUUGACUUCUGGACCAGAUAUGAAUAGGUUAUCAAGCACAUCUUCACUUCCUUCAGGUGAUGAUGAUCUGCGAAACGAUGUACAGUCAAUGAAAGUUCAACGAGCUCGUACUCCGCCCAUUGAUGCGGUUGCUCCUAUGACAAAGUCAAGAUUUUGUGCGUCAGGAGGUUGUACAAAUAGCUUAUAGAGGUUAUAUAUAUCAAAUCAUAUGCAUAUUAGCGGAUAUUAUAUAUAUCCGCAAGUUUAUAUAUAAUAUCCGCUAAUAAUGUAUAGGUUAUUUUUAUAUUUAAAUUUUGGGCACGUGAUGAUAGAAAGUUAGAAACAUAUGAGAAUUAUAAGAAUAGCUAUACAAGAAUAUUGAUGGUAGUAUCGGUUUCACUCCGAGGGAGGGUUUAGUAUUACAUUCGGUGGCAUAUGUUGAUGGUAGUAGAGGUCAAAGAUCAAUAGCUUAUAGAUUGAGCUUUGUGGAGAUGGUUGUGCCUUAUGGCGAUCCAAAUGAUCCACAUUACCGAAAGAAUGCAUUCGAUGCUGGUGAAGAUUGCCAUGGAAAAAAUGCUCAUUCACUAAAGAAGGGACGUGAUUGCUUAGAUAUAUCAAGUACUUUGAUGCACAUUUUACAAACUUCAUUGGGGGUGUUGAAACAAUUGAAAAUUGCGUAUGUAUGCAUGAAGAGGACCACGGAAUCCUCUGGAAGCAUCAAGAUUGGAGAACCAGCUUAGCUGAAGUCCGAAGAUCGCAACGAUUCACAGUUUCUUUUAUAUGCACUGUUGCAAACUAUGAAUAUGGUUUCUAUUGGCACUUUUACCAGGAUGGAAAGAUUGAAGCUGAAGUUAAACUCACUGGAAUUCUGAUCUUAGGGGCGUUGCAGCCAGGAGAAGUUAGAAAAUACGGCACCACUAUUGCACCAGGACUCUAUGUGUCGGUUCAUCAUCAUUUUUUGUUGCUCAUAUGGACAUGGCGGUUGAUUGUAAGCCUGGAGAAACACGCAAUCAGGUUGUUGAAGUUGAGGUUAAAGUUUAUUAUAUAUAUAGAUAGAUAUGACCUCAAGUUUCAAACUCCUGUUGACAAAUGGUGAACAAUUCAACAAAUUAACAGACUUUACAACAUCAAUCAACAGCUGCAGGACAAUUACGAUCUUUUUAGGCAGAUCAAGAACAAUAUUACUGCCAUCUUAAACGAAAACAGGAGUAAAUUCAUACCUGUUUGGCUGUUUCUAUUCAUGAAGGUGGAGGAGUCAACUGAUGUGGCGUGUUUUCUUCACAUCUGCAGUAGUGACGGUAGUAGUCCGUACUACUAUGGGGUGGUGUAAGAGUGGCAAGUGUGGGCAUUUCGGUUCUGGAGGUUCCAUCAUAAUAUUAGCGUUCUCUAUUCAGGUUCGGAUCUUCUGAUGGACAAUGAAGGAAAACUUAAAAAAUAAAGAAUUCUUGAUCAAUAUCGUAGCACAUUAGAGUCACUGAUAUGUAGUUGGGAUUGGCUUUUUGGAGAUUCAGGUUUGCCAACAAAAGAAAAGGAAGCAGUGGAUGCUAUUAUUGAAGAUGUUAUUUCUCAACACAAUGGUGGUGAAGAUGCAAUGGAAAUUGAAGAUUGAAAACCAGCACAUGUUAUUUUGUUGAAGUAGCUUCAUUUGUUUUUUUAAGUUUUAUCAUCUUUUGGUACUUUAAGUAUUUUGGAGAAUGUCUUUUGUUGUAAUUUAUAACUUUUGACAUCGUAUGAUUUGUUGGUUCAAAAGAACUUAUUGAAGGAUGUAUUUUGUGGUAAGUUUUUAUUAUGCUGUUGUAAUCUGUUUUAA